rnacentral:rRNA from 1 species
CUACCCGGGUUUCUAAUCCUGUUUGAUCCCCACGCUUUCGUGCAUCAGUGUCAAUAAUAGCGUAGCGAGCUGCCUUCGCAAUGGGUGUUCUAUGUCAUAUCUAAGCAUUUCACCGCUACAUGACAUAUUCCGCUCACCUCCACUAUAUUCAAGACAGAUAGUAUCAACGGCAGUUUCUAAGUUAAGCUUAGAGAUUUCACCACUGACUUACCUGCCCACCUACGCACCCUUUAAACCCAGUGAAUCCGGAUAACGCUUGCACCCUCCGUAUUACCGCGGCUGCUGGCAC